AUGAGGACCGUGCUGGUGUUGCCGUCAAACAUGAUUCUCCCUUGUUGCUGCGCUGCUACAGUGGCUCACUCCAGCACAGCCUCAAUCAGCUCAGCCAGCAUCUUCUUGGCUGUAGUCUUGUGCAAGACUACUCCAAGCCAGGACAGUACACAGGUAUGUGUCUAUAAUGCCAUGCUUUGUUUUGGUAAUGCACAGACUUCUGUUUUACAACCUUGUUUUCUGUUUAAUUUUCUUUUGUCAGGCGUGCUUAUCAGGGUGGAGUACCUGUGCUCACAGCAGUCCUGGGAGUUGAGGAAGAACUUUGGGUGGGACCCAGAUGGGAUCCCAGCGGGCUUGGGAGAUAUAGAAGAUGAAGGAUUUGGGGAUGAAGCAGAGGAGCAGGACCACGCCAUCUCCCCUGUUUCUUUAGUCUCAACCAAGGAAGCUAUAUGCUUGUCUCGGGAUUCACCGUCACCCUCUCAGUCCUCACAGGACUUGCCACCUGAGCCCCAGGAAGAUGUGUGCAGAAGACCAGACGGGACUCCAGGAUUUGACACAGUGGUGGACCUGGCCAGAUACCUUGUCGAGCUGAGGGAAAAGCCUUGCAUCUUGGACAGGGAAGCUACUGACAUUGUUAGGCUGUGGGACAGACUCCCAGACAGUGACAGACAGGGUUUUUCCUAUCCACUAAGACACAAGGAGAGACUUUUGCAAGGCAGGUUCAAGGCCACCCACUCCAAAACCUCCACCUGCCAUGGAAAAGAAAGCCUGAAGCGAUGUGUGUUGGGGCAGGGCUCCUGCGCAGUGGCCUAA
ensembl:lncRNA